GACGAACGCUGGCGGCGUGCUUAACACAUGCAAGUCGAACGGAAAGGCCCUGCGUUUGUGGGGUGCUCGAGUGGCGAACGGGUGAGUAACACGUGGGUAACCUGCCCUUGACUUUGGGAUAACUUCAGGAAACUGGGGCUAAUACCGGAUAGGAGCUACUGCUGCAUAGUGGGGGUUGGAAAGUUUCGGCGGUUGGGGAUGGACUCGCGGCGUAUCAGCUUGUUGGUGGGGUAGUGGCUUACCAAGGCUUUGACGGGUAGCCGGCCUGAGAGGGUGACCGGCCACAUUGGGACUGAGAUACGGCCCAGACUCCUACGGGAGGCAGCAGUGGGGAAUAUUGCACAAUGGGCGGAAGCCUGAUGCAGCAACGCCGCGUGCGGGAUGACGGCCUUCGGGUUGUAAACCGCUUUCGCCUGUGACGAAGCGUGAGUGACGGUAAUGGGUAAAGAAGCACCGGCUAACUACGUG
rnacentral:rRNA from 1 species